UUUUCUUUCAGCUCCAAGAGAAUUAUGAUAAACAGAAGCUCAGAAUAAAAAAUACCGAACGUGAUCUUCAAGUUGCUGAGGAGGAGUUGAUGAAAGCACAAUUAGAAGCAGCUUCAAAGUUAAAAAAGUUGACUGAGGUUUGAAGAUAUGGCUUGGCAUGUUUUAGCUAUUUUCAACAACUGCG